rnacentral:rRNA from 1 species
UACGAAGGGGGCUAGCGUUGCUCGGAAUCAUUGGGCGUAAAGAGCGUGUAGGCGGCUUGGUAAGUCCGCUGUGAAAGUCCAGGGCUCAACCCUGGAAAGCCGGUGGAAACUGUCAAGCUUGAGUCCGGAAGAGGCGAGUGGAAUUCCUGGUGUAGCGGUGAAAUGCGCAGAUAUCAGGAGGAACACCAAUGGCGAAGGCAGCUCGCUGGGACGGUACUGACGCUGAGACGCGAAAGCGUGGGGAGCAAACAGG